rnacentral:hammerhead_ribozyme from 1 species
AUCCAGCUGACGAGUCCCAAAAUAGGACGAAACGUGCCUCAAACUGGAU